rnacentral:lncRNA from 1 species
CCCCUCCUGCACACCCUCUUCUUCUUUUUCUUCUUUCUCAGAAAAUUAACACCGAUAUGACUGUUUUGUCUGUGAGUACUCCUCCGGCUCCUCAGGCUCCUCUGGCGGCCACCGGACCUCGGACACUGGUGGUGGGUGCAUCCGGGUUCAUAGGGCGGUUUGUGGCGGAAGCCAGCCUCUCCUCCGGCCACCCCACCUAUGUCCUAGUCCGCUCCUCCGCCACGAC